rnacentral:rRNA from 4 species
AUCUUCGGACCUUGCGCGAUUGAAUGAGCCGAUGUCGGAUUAGCUAGUUGGCGGGGUAAAGGCCCACCAAGGCGACGAUCCGUAGCUGGUCUGAGAGGAUGAUCAGCCACACUGGAACUGAGACACGGUCCAGACUCCUACGGGAGGCAGCAGUGGGGAAUAUUGGACAAUGGGCGCAAGCCUGAUCCAGCCAUACCGCGUGGGUGAAGAAGGCCUUCGGGUUGUAAAGCCCUUUUGUUGGGAAAGAAAUCCAGCCGGCUAAUACCUGGUUGGGAUGACGGUACCCAAAGAAUAAGCACCGGCUAACUUCG